rnacentral:rRNA from 1 species
GGUCUCCUUUUUGCAAAGGAGCUCACGUUUUCACACAAAACUUGAUACAGUGUAGAAUGUUAUCUUUGCGGUCACACGCAAUCAAUACAACUUUCAACAACGGAUCUCUUGGCUCUCGCAUCGAUGAAGAACGCAGCGAAAUGCGAUACGUAAUGUGAAUUGCAGAAUUCAGUGAAUCAUCGAAUCUUUGAACGCACCUUGCGCCCCUUGGCAUUCCGAGGGGCACACCCGUUUGAGUGUCGUGAAAUCCUCAAAAAUCCUUUUUGGACUUACUGAAAAGGAUUUUUGGACUUGGAGGUUUAAUGCUUGCCUUUCACCUUUGAAAGUGAGCUCCUCUCAAAUGAAUUAGUGGGGUCUGCUUUGCUUUGAUCCUUGACGUGAUAAAAUGUUUCUACGUUUUGGAUUUUUGGCACUGUUCCUUUGGAUGCCUGCUUCUAACUGUCUUUAUGGACAAUGGAUGGUGUUCCGGUCCCUGCCGUCUAAUGUCGGUGGGAGGCUGGACCCACGAACGAAAACCUGAC